CGAGAAAGUGGAGCAUCCAUGAGUAAAGUGGCGUACGGGUGAGUAACACGUGGGUGAUCUACCUCUUAGUGAGGAAUAACCCUGGGAAACCGGGGCUAAUACCGCAUAAGCCUGAGAAGGGAAAGUCGAAAGACGCUGAGAGAGGAGCCCGCGGCGAUUAGCUAGUUGGUGAGGUAAGAGCCCACCAAGGCAGAGAUCGGUAGCCGGCCUGAGAGGGCACACGGCCACACUGGCACUGAAACACGGGCCAGACUCCUACGGGAGGCAGCAGUGGGGAAUCUUGCACAAUGGGGGAAACCCUGAUGCAGCGACGCCGCGUGAGCGAUGAAGCCCUUCGGGGUGUAAAGCUCUUUCGGCAGGGAAGAUAGUGACGGUACCUGCAGAAGCAGCUGCGGCUAACUACGUGCCAGCAGCCGCGGUAAUACGUAGGCAGCAAGCGUUGUUCGGAGUUACUGGGCGUAAAGGGUGUGUAGGCGGUUCUUUAAGUUUGGUGUGAAAUCUCCCGGCUCAACCGGGAGGGUGCGCCGAAUACUGAGGGACUAGAGUGCGGGAGAGGAAAGUGGAAUUCCUGGUGUAGCGGUGAAAUGCGUAGAUAUCAGGAGGAACACCGGUGGUGUAGACGGUUUCUGGACCGUAACUGACGCUGAG
rnacentral:rRNA from 1 species